rnacentral:rRNA from 1 species
UGCAAGUCGAGCGGAGACGGGAGCUUGCUCCUUGAUUCAGCGGCGGACGGGUGAGUAAUGCCUAGGAAUCUGCCUGGUAGUGGGGGACAACGUUUCGAAAGGAACGCUAAUACCGCAUACGUCCUACGGGAGAAAGCAGGGGACCUUCGGGCCUUGCGCUAUCAGAUGAGCCUAGGUCGGAUUAGCUAGUUGGUGAGGUAAUGGCUCACCAAGGCGACGAUCCGUAACUGGUCUGAGAGGAUGAUCAGUCACACUGGAACUGAGACACGGUCCAGACUCCUACGGGAGGCAGCAGUGGGGAUUUUGGACAAUGGGCGAAACCUGAUCCACCAUGCCGCGUGUGUAAGAAGUCUUCGGAUUUAAAGCACUUUAAUUGGAGGAAGGCGUAGUAAUACUUGCUG